GCCCACAUAGCUCAGUCGGUAGAGCACUUUCUUGGUAAGGAAGAGGUCGCUGGUUCAAUUCCAGCUGUGGGCACCA
rnacentral:tRNA from 1 species